rnacentral:tRNA from 1 species
UCUACAUGUAAAUACAUACAAAAAUGAAAGUUUUAGUAAGAGGAAAAUCCGUCGACUUUAAAAAUCGUGAGGGUUCAAGUCCCUCUAUCCCCAAAAA